GACGGUGCCGAUUCUUUGAAAAGGGAUCUAGGAGCGAUACAACCUUCUCUUGUAGCCACUUCAAGUUCUUCCAAGAUAUCUGGUUCACAUAAAACCAAAUCUAGUUUCCAGGAUAUGAAGGGAUCACCUGUAGAAUCUGUUUCUUCAUCACCUAUGAGAAUACCUAACCGAGAUAAGAUUUUACGGUCAUCUCGGGAAGGCAAGGACUUUCUGGAUGCUGGUCGUAC
rnacentral:misc_RNA from 1 species